rnacentral:rRNA from 1 species
UAACACGUGGGUAACCUGCCCGGAAGUGGGGAAUACCUCGGGGAAACUCGAGCUAAUACCGCAUGACAUCUUCUCGACGAGAGUUCUGAAGAUCAAAGCGGGGUCGCAAGAUCUCGCGCUACCGGAUGGGCCCGCGCCCGAUUAGCUAGUUGGCGAGGUAACGGCUCACCAAGGCUUCGAUCGGUAACCGGCCUGAGAGGGCGAUCGGUCACACCGGAACUGAGACACGGUCCGG